GACGAACGCUGGCGGCGUGCUUAACACAUGCAAGUCGAACGUGAUUUUUGUGGAAAUUCUUUCGGGAAUGGAAAUGAAAUGAAAGUGGCGAACGGGUGAGUAACACGUGAGCAACCUACCUUACACAGGGGGAUAGCCGUUGGAAACGACGAUUAAUACCGCAUGAGACCACAGAAUCGCAUGAUAUAGGGGUCAAAGAUUUAUCGGUGUAAGAAGGGCUCGCGUCUGAUUAGCUAGUUGGAAGGGUAAAGGCCUACCAAGGCGACGAUCAGUAGCCGGUCUGAGAGGAUGAACGGCCACAUUGGAACUGAGACACGGUCCAAACUCAUACGGGAGGCAGCAGUGGGGAAUAUUGCACAAUGGGGGGAACCCUGAUGCAGCGACGCCGCGUGAGCGAAGAAGGUUUUCGAAUCGUAAAGCUCUGUCCUAUGAGAAGAUAAUGACGGUAUCAUAGGAGGAAGCCCCGGCUAAAUACGUG
rnacentral:rRNA from 1 species